ACGACCAACAGCAACAACGAGGACGAUGUCGACCUACCAGGUUGAUAUCGACGAAAGAGAAGAGCAGGGUGGUUACGACCAGGAUAAUGACUAUGGUGAUGUCCCUGAAGAAGAACAGCGUGGGGAAGACGACGACGACGAACUGGACGACUACCAUAGUCACUACCAGGGCGACUACCAAGCUGAUGACGACGACUAGGAUUACAACCAGGGCGGUCGGUGAUGUUCACUGGACUACUGUAAAUCGGGGUUGCAGUAUCUAGCCAGGGUCAUUGACCUUACCAAGACACACUCAGUGUACCUCUUCACCUCUCCAGUGGACGUGAACUAAUUUUUAAGGAGAUGAGAACAUGGCGAUUCAUCUCUUUGUCCAUUGGUGAUUUGCAAAGAAAUAUGUAAAGACACUCUACUCUGUAUAAUAAUUGAGGAGACUUGAUUUCAUUCCACCAGAAACCUGUAAAUUUAAAUCUUCCUUGGAAUCCUCAUUCAUCGAUGGACAUACUACGUACGAUGAUGCCUAAACAUAUUGCAGUCCGACUUUCUACAUUCUGAAAGAAACGCGGUCAUGUUUCAUCAGGUUUUCUUAUUUAGCAAGCAAGCAAUUUAAAUUGUCUCGUAAAUUAGCAAUCAUGGUUAUAUUCAAAUGAACACGGCGACGUCUGCUUUGGAAGCAGAAUCUCCAGAUAUGUAAACGAUGGAAUAAAACAACAUUGAACUACUGAACUAUUCUCUCAAAUAUUAUUAACUAACAGCAACAUUAUCGAGAAUCAUCUGUCAGAAUCGUGUACACAACUCACCAGAGACAAAUGUCAACCUGACUGAUAUGAACCUGGCAAGAGGUUUGUUGAUUGGUCUGUGUCGGAGAAAAAUGCUUGCACGAGAAUGCAACCCUGCAUAGCUUAUUCUUAAGCAGGUUUCACUAUUCCUUCAAAUCGGACGGUCAUAAACCGAGGACAAUUCAACUGAGAAGUAUCUGAUUUCAGAAUCUUGAAGAGAACUAGCCUAUUCGGCCUGACUGAUUCGAACCUUGCAAGAGGUUUGUUGAUCGGACUGUGCCGGAAAACAUCCAAGAUAAAGACAAACUUUAUGAUUGUUAUGAUACUCAAUCUACACAACGACCCAAGAUAUGGAAUAAUACCGGUGCUGAUCAUUUGCAAAUGGAACAAUAUUGGAGCGUGACGGACUUUUGGAUAAUCAAUUUUUUUGAUCAAAUGGAAUGUUCAUGAACUACUGUUUGGAUCAUAUUCCCGCUGGAUCACAGGAUUGAAGGGGAGAAUGCAGAGACUGAACCUUCAGAUGAACUUGAGACUGAGAUGUCGGGGCAAGUGAAGGUUAGCCUGUAAACAAUACAACAAUAUCACUUCUGAUCUUAAUGGAGCUCUGAAAUUUACUGAGAUGUGUCAAAGUUGGGUUUGAGUUAAGUUUAAAAUAUAAACUAUAACAUUUACACAUUAGGCUUAAUUAAUAUAAAUGUAGUGUAAGGGCCUAAUUUGAAUCUGACCCUAACCCAUCUCAGAAAAUUUCGAGCUCUAUAUCAGGAAGAUUGUUGCGUUGUAGAAAAUCUAUGAAGUGUCCAACUUUUCGAAUUGGACACGUUUCGUAUCGAAUCCUCGCGGCUCGGCAUGCCUCGUUGCCACUCGUCGCAUUUCGUUGCGUUUCGUUUCGUUUUGUUGCGUCUUGUGACGUCUCUUCACGUAACGACAAUUUUCCGGUGAGAUAUAGUAUGGAUUAUUAUUUUGUUGGUGAAUAUAUGAUAGAUUAUCGCCGUUAUAUUUGAUUUAAGUUUAGUCUGUGAUUGCUAUAUUAAUUAGCUUGGUAAACUGUAGAAAAGAUGAUGAUAACAAUAAUACUAUUAAUAAUAAUGAUUAUUGGACAGAGAUCGCUCCUAUCACAUACGACAAAGAAGAAGAGAAGAAAAUGAAGAUAAGAAGAAAAGGAAGAUGUGUCGUACAGAUAAGUGUUGUAUUGGUAGGCUUGCUUUACUAGAAAUGUAGUUUGACAAUUUUUUUGAUUAGCAUAGAAUAGGAAAAUACGACGAAUAUGAGGAGGACAUGUACCUAUAGUCUCAUUAGCAAUAUUUAUAUUAUCUUGCCAAGGCAUUUG